CGGAGGUUCAGCCCGACAGCCUGCUGUGCUCGCCUUCUCUGCCCCCUCGGAAGAAGUUCAGGAGCUGGGAACCCGCCGGGCGCCACCAAUCUGCGAAGCAGGGCAUGGAAGAAUCAGAUGGAGGCCUGAGUCUCGGCUUUGAAACUGACUGGCCUGGGUUACCUUGGGCAAGCUACUUAACCUCUCGGAGCCUCGGUUUCCUCCUCUGUAAAUUCGGAUGACAAUAGCACCGACCUACCUGCAGGGAAGUGGAGGUUCUGACUGGGGGUUGUGAUGCAGGUACAACGCUCAGCACAGUGCUUGGCAUGUAGUAAGCAUAAUAAAUGUUAAUUGUGGUGGUGGCUGUCAUUAUUUCAGAAGACGUGGUGAAAGGAUGCUUCCGGACACUUAUUGAUUCCCAGUAAAUGUCUCAACCUCCCUGAGCCUCAGUUUCCUCAUCUGUAAAAUGGAGGGGAGGUGUCACUCCUUGGACUGUGGUGUUGAUUAAUGAGAUGAUGAUGACAAAGGCAAAUAAAUACAGAUGUAAAUUUAA